AUUGUUUGCGUGCGCUUGUUCUACAUUAGUUUUACUGGGUCCUGGACAUGCUUAACAUGCUUAUUUUGUGGACUGGGUAAGAAACAUUUUUAUUGUUUUUUGUUUUAUUAAGGGAUUAGCUACCGGGGUUCAUGGGGUUAUUUUUUCAUGGGGUUAUUUUUUUCAUUUGCUUUCUUGGGAUUCCUUUAUGUAAUCCAAGAGUCAUAAAUAUCGAAUAGGAUAGCAAGGAUAGCAUAAAGUGACACUUAAAAUCCAAAAAGUCGAGGGCGAAAGCCACUGUGACACCAUUGUUAUGCUCUAUUAGUAAUCUGUAUUAUGUAAAAAUCGUCUGUAAAUACAGCAUGUUUCCUAGCGGAGGUAUACAUAUCAACAUAGUUAUAAAUUACAGUUUGUUAAACCACACACUUAUUUUUUUAAAUAAAAUUAUUCACGACAUAUGAGUGGGCAGACAAUGGAGGUCGACAGACCUGGUGAGAAUUUCUUCUGAGUAGUAUUUUAUUUAGUUGUAAUUCAAUCAAUAAUUUGCUUCUUGAAAUUUAGUAAUGAAUUUCUUGUUUUACUUUAUAAAUUUCAGAUCCUGCCUUUACCUGCCCCCUCCUAUACUGAUGUGGUGUAUGUGGUACUGCUGAGCUUGUAUGUGGUGGAAGCAGAAUUUGUGAGGAUUACUACUGCUCCACUUGACCAAUACACUGACCAGCUCAUAAAAGUCUUCAAGAAAAAAGGAGGUGCUGCAGUGAAGAAAAUUAGACAAACUUUGGCCCCUGCCACACAGAAGCAAACUAUUGAAAAGGGGAGGGAGUGUGUCCUCAGGGCACUACCUUUUUACCUGAAUGAAGACCCAAGCAUCCUCUUCAAAGAAUAACUGCUACAGCUACAGCUGUUCAGAGGGAGCUGGAACAAAUUACCCUUGCUAUCUUUACCAUCGAAAGAGCUGAUACCUCCAGCCGAUGUGGGUAUAACCAUCUAGGGUGUUCUGCAUGACCUGGAAGACAUGCCCUCUGCAUGUGCACUCUUAAUGGGUGGGAUAUAUGCACUGAAUCUCAGUUAACCUCGAGACUUAAAGCUUUCUUUGAAGUACUUCAGAAGCUCUUCCUUCAUCUGGAUGUCAGCAGACUCUUGACCAAGGUAGAGAUGCUCAAGAAUAAAUUGAAUGAAUAAGCCAACCCUUAAUUUGGAUGUUGAAUGUUCUGUCAGAUGGACAGAAGUUUUUCGGAGGCUGAAUGGGAAUAAAAUGGUAAUUUGUUGAAAAUGACAGAUAAAGGGAAAAUUACACUUAAGAGAAAUUUUGAAAAGUUUGUAAACUACUACAAUUUGACAGAUUUUACUCUUGUGUUACAUUUUGUGCAUUGUAAAGGUAAUUGCAAUACAUACUAAGAAUAACGGUAAGUUAGGAAUGCAGGAUGAAUGUAUAUUUUGCGGACUUUUAAAGACGAACAAUUGUUUCCAUGUUAAAAUGUUUACAACUCAAGUUUUUUGCCCAAACACUGGUAAAAUAAACGUUGACAGUGGCAAGUGUUAAAUGGUUACUGUUGUGCUGUUGCAAAAAACCUGAACGCUGACAAGGUGUUUUAUUGUUAGACAAUAAUGCUGGCAUGUUUUAUUAAAGUUUUAUUUGGGAUGGUGAUAUAAUUUUCUUUGAUUGCUAAUAUCAGUGGACUGUUUAUUAUUAUUAUUAUUAUUAUCAUUAUUACAUUAUUUUUUUAAUUGUGGCCGUUGAGGUACACACUUCACUUUGCAUGUGUUACUGGACUGACCCUAAGCAACCAUUGCAAAUAGCAACUUUGCUAUUCAUUUUAGACACUAGAAGAAAAAGCACUCCACAGACCUUACUAGCAUCACAUGUGCAUAACUCAAGUGUCAUCUUAUCAACAUGUUAUGUAGUCUUCAAUGUUUUUUUUUCUUCUAUUUCUGGCAGAUACAGACAUUUAAUUUAAAGUAUUGAUGUUGCAUCUGUCUAUAUACUGUUAAUUACUAACCCUAAUGAGCUGUUGUAUUUCAUUUUGG